CAUGAUUUAGCCAGUACCCCCAAGCAAAGAGACCUUUAGUUUGAUACCCCGAAACCAGGUGAGCUACCCCGAGACAGCCUAUGUUAAUUUAGGGCUAACCCGUCUCUGUGGCAAAAGAGUGGGAAGAGCUCCGGGUAGAAGUGAAAGACCUACCGAACCUGGUGAUAGCUGGUUGACUGAGAAAUGGAUAGAAGUUCAGCCUCGCACACCCCAAACCAAAAAAUAUUAUUAUCAAGAUAUUUAGGGAUACGUACGAGAGUUAGUUAAAAGGGGUACAGCCCUUUUAACAAAGGAUACAACCUUUACAGGAGGAUAAAGAUCAUAAUGUAUAAGAUAUACUGUUCUAGUGGGCCUGAAAGCAGCCACCUAUACAGAAAGCGUUAAAGCUCGGACAGAAAGAAAUUUAUUAUUUAGAUAAAAAAUCUUAUUCCCCUAACUAUAUCAGACCAACCCAUGCCUACAUGGAAGAGAUUAUGCUAAAAUGAGUAAUAAGAAGACCCGCUCUUCUCCCAGCACAAGUGUAAGCCAGAUCGGACUAGCCACUGGAAUUUAACGAACCCAACCCAAGAGGGUAAUGUGAUCAACAAAAAACUCAAGAAGACCUCACAUUAAACAAUCGUUAACCCCACACUGGAGUGCUAUUUUUAAAGGAAAGACUAAAAGAAGGGGAAGGAACUCGGCAAACACAAGCCUCGCCUGUUUACCAAAAACAUCGCCUCCUGCAACUGAACUGAGUAUAGGAGGUCCAGCCUGCCCAGUGACUACGGGUUCAACGGCCGCGGUAUCUUGACCGUGCAAAGGUAGCGCAAUCACUUGUCUCUUAAAUAGAGACCUGUAUGAAUGGCUAGACGAGGGCUUAACUGUCUCCCCCCUCCAGUCAGUGAAAUUGAUCUAUCCGUGCAGAAGCGGGUAUAAAUAUACAAGACGAGAAGACCCUUUGGAGCUUAAGGUACAAAUUCAACCACGUUAAACAACUCUAUAAGAAGCAAGAACUUAGUGAUACUGAAAUUUUACCUUCGGUUGGGGCGACCGCGGAGGAAAAACAAGCCUCCGAGUGGACUGGGCCAAACCCCUGAAGCUAAUAGAGACAUCUAUAGGACACAGAAUAUCUGACCAAAAAUGAUCCGGCUAAAAAGCCGAUCAACGAACCAAGUUACCCAAGGGAUAACAGCGCAAUCCCCUCCCAGAGCCCAUAUCUACGAGGGGGUUUACGACCUCGAUGUUGGAUCAGGACAUCCUAAUGGUGCAGCCGCUAUUAAGGGUUCGUUUGUUCAACGAUUAAAGUCC
rnacentral:rRNA from 1 species